rnacentral:rRNA from 1 species
GCUUCGGUCGGCGCGCCCGCACCAAAAGGCCCAGC